CAAAUAACUGCUUUGCAAUUGCUACCCAAAAAAGUGGGGGCUGUGUGAUACAGUCAUGCGUAGAAUCUGCUGGUGGAUAACUCAGAGAUUGUAUAAUUACUGAGAUAUUGAUAAAUGCAAUGCAGCUAUCAGAAGAUCAAUAUGGCAACUAUGUGGUGCAACAUCUUUUGGGACUGAAGUUACCAAGA